rnacentral:lncRNA from 1 species
CUCGCCGCCGCCGCCACCUCCUCCCCGUCCCCGCCUCCCUCCCGAUCCCCACCUCCUCCCUGUCAUACCCCAUUCCAAUCUCCCCAGUCCACAGCCGUCCCAAACCCCCAUCCCUCCCUCCCUUCCUCGUUCCCAGAUCCGAACCCUCCCCGAGAACCCUAGCCAACCCAUGGCGCCGCCGCGCCGUCGCGGGGCUCCUCCGCCAAGGCCACGCCCGAGGCCGACCAGGAGGCCUCGGUCACCAAGCGCCCCCGCAAGGGCACCUCCUCCGGCAAGAAGAAGCCAGCGCCCAAGGCCGCCAAGAAGCAGCAGAAGGCCACCAAGGCGCCGCGGGAGAAGAAGGAGAAGGCGUAGGAGAACCCGGCGGCGGAGGACGCGGUGUGCAGGGAGGAGCCCGACGAGGAGGAGCUGGCGCUCGGGGAGGAGGA